rnacentral:tRNA from 1 species
UGGCUUAACGGUUAGGGCGUUUGGCCAAAAACCAAAAGUCAUGGGUUCAAGUCCCUU